AUGAACGUUGGCGGCGUGCCUAACACAUGCAAGUUGAGCGUGGCCUUAGUUUACUAAGGUCUAGCAGCGGACGGCUGAGUAAUACACAGGAACAUACCUUAGAGUAGGGCAUAGCCCAUCGAAAGAUGGGGUAAUUCCCUAUAGUCUCGCAAGAGUAAAGCCGCAAGGCGCUCUGAGAAUGGCCUGUGGCCUAUCAGGUAGUUGGUGGGGUAAAUGCCUACCAAGCCUAUGACGGGUAACUGGUCUGAGAGGAUGACCAGUCAGAUCGGGACUGAGACACGGCCCGAACUCCUACGGGAGGCAGCAGUUGGGAAUCUUGCGCAAUGGACGAAAGUCUGACGCAGCGACGCCGCGUGGAGGAUGAAGGUUUUCGGAUCGUAAACCUCCUUUGCUAGAGAGUAAUUUUUUGAAAAGUAUCUAGCGAAUAAGCCACCGGCUAACUCCGUGCCAGCAGCCGCGGUAAUACGGGGGGUGCUAACGUUAUCCGGAAUCACUGGGCGUAAAGAGCAUGUAGGUGGUUUAGUAAGUAGGCGAUUAAAGACCCGACGCUUAACGUCGGGACUGUUACCUAUACUGCUAGACUCGAGGGAGACAGGGGUAAGCGGAACUUUAGGUGUAGGGGUGAAAUCCGUAGAUAUCUAAAGGAACACCAAUGGCGAAGGCAGCUUACUGGGUCUUUCCUGACACUGAGAUGCGAAAGCGUGGGGAGCGAACGGGAUUAGAUACCCCGGUAGUCCACGCCGUAAACGAUGCACACUAGGUCUUGGAGGGUAUCGACCCCCUUUUGGACCGUAGCUAACGCGAUAAGUGUGCCGCCUGGGGGAAUACGAGCGCAAGCUUAAAACUCAAAGGAAUUGACGGGGACCUGCACCAGCGGUGGAGCGUGUGGUUUAAUUCGAUACUAAGCGAAGAACCUUACCUGGGUUUGACAUCCCGAGAAAGUCCUGGAAACAGGACCGUGCCGUAAGGAACUCGGUGACAGAUGUUGCACGGUUGUCGUCAGCUCGUGCUGUGAAGUGUCCCGUUCAGUCGGUUUAACGAGCGCAACCCCUACCCCUGUGUUGAAUUUUUCACAGGGAACUGCCCUAGUUAAUAGGGAGGAAGGCGGGGACGACGUCAAAUCAGCGUGGCUCCUACACCCAGGGCGACACACGCGCUACAAUGGGUAGUAACAAUGGGUUGCCAAGCCGCGAGGCGGAGCUAAUCCCACCAAACCUACCCCCAGUUCAGAUUGAAGGCUGCAACUCGCCUCCAUGAAGUCGGAAUCGCUAGUAACGGCCGGUCAGCCAUACGGCCGUGAAUACGUUCUCAGGUCUUGUACACACCGCCCGUCAAGCCACGAAAGUCGGGAGUGCCCGAAGGGGCUUUUUAGUCACUACGGCAAGUUCGAUGAUUCAGGGCU
rnacentral:rRNA from 1 species